UCAGGCCUAACACAUGCAAGUCGAACGGACUACUUCGGUAGUUAGUGGCGAACGGGUGAGUAAUGCCUAGGAAUCUGCCAUUUAGUGGGGGAUAACGUUCCGAAAGGAACGCUAAUACCGCAUACGUCCUACGGGAGAAAGAGGGGGAUCUUCGGACCUCUUGCUAAAUGAUGAGCCUAGGUCAGAUUAGCUAGUUGGUGAGGUAAAGGCUCACCAAGGCGACGAUCUGUAGCGGGUCUGAGAGGAUGAUCCGCCACACUGGAACUGAGACACGGUCCAGACUCCUACGGGAGGCAGCAGUGGGGAAUAUUGGACAAUGGGCGCAAGCCUGAUCCAGCCAAGCCGCGUGUGUGAAGAAGGCCUUUUGGUUUAAAGCAAAUGAGCGAGGAGGAGGGUACUCUAGUUAAUACCUAGAU
rnacentral:rRNA from 1 species